rnacentral:lncRNA from 1 species
CUGGUUUUCAAAGCCUUAUGAAAAAUUGAUGCUGAUGGACAAGCUGCUUUUCAGCCUUCAUGGUGCAGUUUAUACUCCAGGCUUGGUUUGCAUCUUGGUUCCUGUGCAUCUGCUGUGCCUUCAGUAGUGUGUUCGCUGGGCCGGAAAGUGCUCAAGUGGUGGCCUGGUCACGUAGCAUGCUCUCAGUUAUGUAAGUGAGUAUUUCAUUGGGAUUUAAAACUACCGGUGCAGGGAAGGGAAAGCACUAAAUGAAAAGCCUGUGGAGGACAACAAUGAAUUGGGUCAUCUAUUCAAUGUUUCAUCUCUCGAGUCUGCUCAAGCCCAGCAGCAUUGGAAGCUGUUUAUGCCUUGGAAUUCAUGGUCUUAAUACAAGAGCACGAUGCUGCAGCAGCAGCAGGGCAUUGUGGCAGCCUUCGUCUCUUAGAUUCAUCAGUGCUUCUCAGUUUGCCGAUCUCUGGAUACCCAUCCCUGCAUCCCUGCUGAGGAGGACCCUGCCUGCAUCUUUAAUCCCAUGUACAGCCGCCUUCUUGUUAGCAAGUAUUAGGUAGGCAAUUUUAAAGUGCUUUUGGAUUUGCCGGCAGCUUUGAUGUUGAUCUGAAAAGUCUAUUGUAUUCUCUGUAAACACAGCAGAAGCCUCUCUUUAAAACCUACUCUGGUUUAGGUCUUGCUUUUCUUUUCCUGUUGUGAUGGUUGGGCAGGGGGGGAAUGCUGUUUUUUCCUUCUUUAAAGAAAAAAGAAUGUUGUC